AGGAAAUUAAGUACGGAAGUUCCUGAUUUCACGCUGUCAAGAAAAGCCUCUAGGAAGAGUAGUACUGCCCGUACCGCAAACCGACACAGGUAGAUGAGGAGAGAAUCCUAAGGUGAGCGAGAGAACUCUCGUUAAGGAACUCGGCAAAAUGACCCCGUAACUUCGGGAGAAGGGGUGCUCUAUUAGGGUGCAAGCCCGAGAGAGCCGCAGUGAAUAGGCCCAGGCGACUGUUUAGCAAAAACACAGGUCUCUGCAAAACCGUAAGGUGACGUAUAGGGGCUGACGCCUGCCCGGUGCUGGAAGGUUAAGAGGAGUGCUUAGCUUCGGCGAAGGUACGAAUUGAAGCCCCAGUAAACGGCGGCCGUAACUAUAACGGUCCUAAGGUAGCGAAAUUCCUUGUCGGGUAAGUUCCGACCCGCACGAAAGGCGCAACGAUCUGGGCACUGUCUCAACGAGAGACUCGGUGAAAUUAUAGUACCUGUGAAGAUGCAGGUUACCCGCGACAGGACGGAAAGACCCCGUGGAGCUUUACUGCAACCUGAUAUGGAAUGUUUGUACCGCUUGUACAGGAUAGGUAGGAGCCGAAGAGACGUGUGCGCUAGCAUACGAGGAGGCAAUGGUGGGAUACUACCCUGGCUGUAUGACCAUUCUAACCCGCCACGCUUAGCGCGUGGGGAGACAGUGUCAGGUGGGCAGUUUGACUGGGGCGGUCGCCUCCUAAAGAGUAACGGAGGCGCCCAAAGGUUCCCUCAGAAUGGAUGGAAAUCAUUCGCAGAGUGUAAAGGCACAAG
rnacentral:rRNA from 1 species